rnacentral:tRNA from 1 species
GGGGAUUUGGCUCAGUGGUAGAGCGCUUGCCUAGCAAGCACAAGGCCCUGGGUUCAGUCCCCAGCUCCCCCC